rnacentral:rRNA from 1 species
AGAGUUUGAUCAUGGCUCAGAUUGAACGCUGGCGGAAUGCUUUACACAUGCAAGUCGAACGGCAGCACGGACUUCGGUCUGGUGGCGAGUGGCRAACGGGWGAGUAACAUAUCGGAACGUAUCCAAUAAUGGGGGAUAACUAAUCGAAAGGUUGGCUAAUACCGCAUACGCCCUACGGGGGAAAGCUAGGGACCUUCGGGCCUGGCGUUAAUGGAGCGGCCGAUAUCUGAUUAGCUAGUUGGUGGGGUAAAGGCCCACCAAGGCGACGAUCAGUAGCUGGUCUGAGAGGACGACCAGCCACACUGGAACUGAGACACGGUCCAGACUCCUACGGGAGGCAGCAGUGGGGAAUUUUGGACAAUGGGCGCAAGCCUGAUCCAGCCAUUCCGCGUGAGUGAAGAAGGCCUUCGGGUUGUAAAGCUCUUUCGCAAGGGAAGAAAACUUAGCCACUAACAUUGGCUGAGGUUGACGGUACCUUGAUAAGAAGCACCGGCUAACUACGUGCCAGCAGCCGCGGUAAUACGUAGGGUGCGAGCGUUAAUCGGAAUUACUGGGCGUAAAGCGUGCGCAGGCGGCCUUGAAAGUCAGAUGUGAAAUCCCCGAGCUCAACUUGGGAACUGCGUUUGAAACUCCAAGGCUAGAAUAUGUCAGAGGGGGGUAGAAUUCCACGUGUAGCAGUGAAAUGCGUAGAGAUGUGGAGGAAUACCAAUGGCGAAGGCAGCCCCCUGGGAUAAUAUUGACGCUCAUGCACGAAAGCGUGGGGAGCAAACASGAUUAGAUACCCUGGUAGUCCACGCCCUAAACGAUGUCUACUAGUUGUUGGUGGAGUAAAAUCCAUGAGUAAUGCAGCUAACGCGUGAAGUAGACCGCCUGGGGAGUACGGUCGCAAGAUUAAAACUCAAAGGAAUUGAACGG